GCUCUCAUGGCUCAGGCGGUAGAGCGUCACCUUGGUAAGGUGGAGGCCACGGGUUCAAGUCCCGUUGAGAGCU
rnacentral:tRNA from 3 species